rnacentral:rRNA from 1 species
UAGGGAAUCUUCCGCAAUGGACGCAAGUCUGACGGAGCAACGCCGCGUGAGUGAAGAAGGAUUUCGGUUCGUAAAACUCUGUUGUUAGAGAAGAACAGCGCAUAGAGUAACUGUUAUGCGUGUGACGGUAUCUAACCAGAAAGCCACGGCUAACUACGUGCCAGCAGCCGCGGUAAUACGUAGGUGGCAAGCGUUGUCCGGAAUCAUUGGGCGUAAAGGGUACGUAGGCGGCCCAGUAAGUUAGAAGUGAAAUAAUAUAGCUCAACUAUAUAAAGCUUUUAAAACUGCUAGGCUUGAGAGAUGGAAGGGAAAGUGGAAUUCCUAGUGUAGCGGUGAAAUGCGCAGAUAUUAGGAAGAAUACCGGUGGCGAAGGCGACUUUCUGGUCAUCAUCUGACGCUGAGGUACGAAAGCGUGGGUAGCAAACAGG